UCAGCGGUACACUUUCCCUGACUGUGUUGUUGUGCAAUUUUUUGAGAUUUAUUUUUUCUCGUGGUUAAAAGUAUUUUAAGAUGGAAACGAUCAAUUUAGAUGGUCCCAAUAGCGUUAAGCCUUUGCCCCAAAGACAGCAGAGAGGCAACCAACCGGCCAAUAAAGGCAAUAUUGGCAAGCACGCGGCUCCUAAACAAAAUGUUGGCCCCGAUGGCAGUCCAGCCGAAAAGAAGGCACGAUUCGGUGGCUUGAACAACCAAAAUGGCCGCCCCGCCGGUGGCGUCGCUGCCGGUGGCCAGAAUCAGAAAAAGAAUUUCGGAAAUAAGGAUGGAUUCGGCGGCAAUCGCAAUCGCCGUGGAGGAAACCAAAAUAGACAAAAUGUUCAGGGUCCGAAUAACGCAAACCAAAAGUCUACUACUAAUGAAGCAGCGAAGCCGGAAGCCGGAAAUGUCGCUGAGAAUGUUAAUGAAUCUGUGGCUGCAAUUCAGCAGCCAGCCCCCAAUGCAAACCAAGGUCCAGGGCAGGUUCAAGGACAAGGGCAAGGUGGUUUCCGCGGUGGUCCUCGCGGUGGCGGCCUCGGCGUCGGUGGCAAUAACCAAGCAGGUGGCGGCAACCAUCCAGGAGGUGGUAACAAUCAUCCAGGAGUUGGUAACAAUCAACCAGGAGGAGGUAACAAUCAUCCAGGAGUUGGUGGCAAUCAUCCAGGAGGAGGUUACAAUCAUCCAGGAGUCGGUGGCAAUCAUCCAGGAGUUGGUGGCAAUCACCAGGGAGGCGGAGGUGUACGCGCCCAGCAACAGCAGCGUGAUCGCGGCAAUCGCGGUGGCGGCGGUCAACGGUCGGGCGGUGGUCAAGGGGGGCCCAACAUGAGCAUGAUGGGCGGUAUAGGUGGCGGUCCACGCGGUGGUGGUGGCGGCGGGGAUGAUUUCUUUAUUGCCCAACGUCUGCGGGCCAUUGCUGGACCCACACUGGAGCUGCCACCCGUGGAGGUGCCCGAGGAGACCAAAUUCUCUGGCCGCAAUCGUCUGUAUGUGGGCAAUCUCACCGGCGACAUCACCGACAAUGAGCUGCGCGAAAUGUUCAAGCCCUAUGGGGAGAUUGGCGAAAUCUUCUCCAACAUUGAGAAGAACUUCACAUUCCUUAAGGUCGAUUACCAUGUGAAUGCUGAGAAAGCCAAGCGCGCCUUGGACGGUACCAUGCGCAAGGGUCGCCAGCUACGCGUCCGUUUCGCACCCAAUGCAACCAUCUUGCGCGUCAGGAACCUCACACCGUUCGUGUCCAACGAGUUGUUGUACAAAUCGUUCGAGAUAUUCGGCCCCAUCGAACGGGCCAGCAUAACAGUCGACGAUCGCGGCAAGCAUACGGGCGAGGGUAUCGUUGAGUUCGCCAAGAAGUCCUCGGCCAACGCCUGUCUGCGUUUCUGCAAUGAGAAGUGCUUCUUUUUGACGGCCUCACUGCGCCCCUGCCUGGUGGAGCCCAUGGAGGUGAAUGACGACAAUGAUGGGCUGCCCGAAAAGGCCCUCAACAAGAAGCUACAGGACUUCAAUCAGGAGCGCAGCGUCGGCCCGCGCUUCGCAGAUCUCAAUUCGUUUGAGCACGAGUACGGCUCCCGCUGGAAGCAGCUGCACGAUCUGUACAAGAGCAAGCAGGAUACCCUAAAGCGUGAGCUCAAAAUGGAAGAGGAAAAGCUGGAUGCUCAGAUGCAGAACGCUCGAUAUGAGCAAGAGACUGAGCUCCUGCGUCAAGAGCUGAGAAAGCGCGAAGUGGACAAUGAGCGCAAGAAGAUAGAAUGGGAAAUGCGCGAGAAGCAGGCCGAGGAAAUGCGCAAGCGCGACGAGGACACUUUGCGUCGCCAUCAGACCGAGAUGCAGACACGCAUGGCGCGUCAGGAGGAGGAUAUGCGCCGACGCCAGCAGGAGAACACAUUGUUCAUACAGGCACAGCAACUGAAUUCGCUGCUCGACCAGCAGGAGGGCUUCGUCGGCAAUGGCGGUAGCGGCAACAACGCCAGCUUCGACAACUUUGGAGGCAACAGCAAUUCUCCCUUUGAAGUUUUUAGAGGAAACAAUAACAACUCAACCAUGACUGGAAAUAGCUCUGGCCCGGGCGGACCCAACAAACAGAUUUACCAAGUCCAAGCACACAACUCCAGAGUUUGAAUAUUUGGAAUGAUUCCAGACAAGCCAGAAGGCCAGCAGAAGCAGCAGCAAUCAAGAGAUUUCUGAUUUACUUCUCCUCGAACCUAUCCAAGGGCAAGCAACAACUAUGGGAAGUGUAUUCGGCUUGGAUGCUGCUGGUUAAACCACACGAUACCUACGAUUGGUUUAAAUGUGGAGACUGUAGAAUACAAGAAUAUGAGAUUUACAGUGUGGGAUGUGGGCGGUUGAGAGCCAUUGCAUAGGCAUUACUUUGCGAAUGCACAGGCUCUUAUCUUCGUCGUGGAAAGCAACGACAGAGAGCGUGUCGAUGAGGCGAGAGAGGACUUAAUGCGCAUCCGAAAGAGCUCCGAGUUCUACUUGUAUUCGCCAACAAAAAGGUGCGACGAAGCGAAGGUAUACGGUAUACGCUGAUAAGGCAAUUCCAAACAUAUGCCGAUGGGUGUCGGGCAUAGACCUAUGAUUGUGAUUAUUACUAUGAUUAUUCAAAGAGGAUCUGCCAAAUGCAAUGAAUGCUGCUGAAAUUACGGUUUACAACUGGUACACCCAAUCAACGUGUGCAACUAGCGGCGAUGGCCUCUACGAAGGAAAACCCACAUCAAAGUCGGAAACACCAACAGACAUACAAACAGACAAAGGAAAACGGUGAAAAUCUUCAGCAACAACAAUAGCAGAUCUUUGCACAGUUAAAGAGGCUUAUCCUUCCUUUUCGUUUAGAAAACAAGAAAUUUAAACUGUGUAAUGAAUUUAAAAUGAAACGAUUAUAAGCAGGGACCGUAAAUAAUCAUUAUUUUUUUUUUUUUUAUAAAAAAAUCUCUUAUUUUUAAUGGACCUACAAAAACACUAUUUACACCAAAAUCUUUAUUUUUGUACAAUCUCUGCAUUGCCGCCAUGAUUUGCAAACUUUUGAUUUUUUACGAUUUUCUUCACAGAUAAUCAUUAUUUUUGUGUAAUUUGAUAAAACUUAGGAUUAAUCAUUAUUCUUGAUCAAAAAAAA